rnacentral:rRNA from 1 species
GGUUCAGGACGAACGCUGGCGGCGUGCCUAAUACAUGCAAGUCGAACGGUCUUUCUAUGGAAGCUUGCUUCCACUGAGAAGAUAGUGGCGAACGGGUGAGUAACACGUGGGUAACCUGCCCAUAAGAGGGGGAUAACAUCCGGAAACGGGUGCUAAUACCGCAUAGUUUUCUUGAUCGCAUGAUUGAGAAAGGAAAGACGGCCUUUGUGCUGUCGCUUAUGGAUGGACCCGCGGCGUAUUAGUUAGUUGGUGAGGUAACGGCUCACCAAGACGAUGAUACGUAGCCGACCUGAGAGGGUGAUCGGCCACAUUGGGACUGAGACACGGCCCAAACUCCUACGGGAGGCAGCAGUAGGGAAUCUUCCGCAAUGGACGAAAGUCUGACGGAGCAACGCCGCGUGAGUGAAAGAAGGUUUUCGGAUCGUAAAACUCUGUUGUCAGAGAAGAACAAGUUGGAGAGUAACUGCUCCAGCCUUGACGGUAUCUGACCAGAAAGCCACGGCUAACUACGUGCCAGCCGCCGC